AAAAAAAGAGAACACAAAGUGAUUUUUGCAAAAUGGCUAUUAAUAAUGUUGCUACAAAGUUGUUUUUGUGCAUUUUUUUUGUGGCUUCACUUUCUGCUAGUACCUUAGGUAUCAAAAUUUGUUUUAAAACUUAAUUACAUUGUUGUUUUAUCAUGAGAUAGUUAUAGUAAUCAACUCUAAAUUUUGAUUUUCAUGCUUAAAUUUGAAGUAACAAAAAAUGUUUCCCAACAUUAUUAUUACACUUUUUUCUAAAACUUUUUUUUCCUUUCGCAUAUAAAGUAUUCUUGUGUUCGGAUGGUAUGAUCUAAUCAUUUUUUGUUAUUAAAUUAUGAUCUAAUUAUUGAUUGAUUAAUUGUUACCGAUAAUCUAUUGAAUUCUUGGUCGCUCAUGUAUUAAAUUAUAAACUAAAUAAUACUGCUUUUGUUUCAAAUUUCAUUUUAUAAUAAAAAUCGGGUGCACUUGUUUGAACUCUUUUUCUAAAAUAAAUAAAAAGAUCAUGAGAUAGAUCAUAGAUUUCUUAUACAAAGAUUUCAGUUAUUUUUAAAUAUUCAUACAAAUAUACUAUUGUUAUCAUAUUACAUUCAAAUGCACAUUUCGAUUUAGAUAGAAAUUCUAAUGGAUUUGUUGUGUUUAUUAUUACCGCAGACGCAAGAGGUGGAAUAAUGUAUAGGACUAUUAAUGAUGCAGUAAUGUUUUGCAUUCAAGGACAAUGUCAUGCUGAAACUUGCAACAAAUUAUGUGGAUCUAAGAGUUUUGCAUAUGGUCGUUGUACGGGUCCAAGAGGUUGCUGCUGCUAUUAAUUAGAGCUAUAUUUCUUCUAAAUCACAGGAAAAAAUAAUUAAUAGAUUAAGUGAAGUGUUAUUCUUAUUGUGUUUGAUUAUGUGUAUCUGGAACAAACAUAUCUUUAUGUAUUCCAUAAAAAAAUAAGUGGG
rnacentral:lncRNA from 1 species